GGCAGGCAGGCAGGCAGGCAGGCAGACAGACAGACAUCAGAUCCUCCCCUACUAGACAGACAGACAGACAGACAGACAGACAGACAGACAGACAGACAGACAGACAGACAGACAGACAGACAGACAGACAUCCUCUAUUUUUCCUCUUUGACAACAACACUUAUUCUGUCGAAGGGUUAAAGGACAGGCAAUUUUCUGUUUCCAAUUUGUAAAAAGCAUAUGUUGACUGUAAUUGUUUGAUUGCUUUAUGGGGAGGCUCAAUAAGGAAGCUCAAUAAGGAAUAAGGAAGCUCAAUAAGGAAGGAGCACACAAUCCUAUUGUAAUUCCUUCCUGGGGUGCGGUGCUCCGGAUUAGUUAGGGACUGACAAGCAGGGUUCAAAUGACCCAGUGGAAAUUGGAAACAUUUAUGAAGGUUAAUCCAACUGACAUUUUGGGAUGUUCUCGGGGGUGCUCAUACUCAGUAGGGGGUGCCAGACAUAUCUUGGGGGUGCCUGACAUCAAAGUGUUUGGCUUGUGGGGGGGGUCCACAUCAAUAUUAAAAUGAUCACCCCUGUUUAGCCAUGGAGAUGAAGACAGACUGUCCCUUAAGAGUAAAGUCUCUCCAGAUGAAGACAGACUGUCUCUUAAGAGUAAAGUCUCUCCACCUCCCAGAGAGUUGAGGUAUAAAUUCAGCCCAGUCCAAUGAACACCUAAACACCUAACCAAUGAAUCAUACAACGCAUGGAGACACUCCAGACAAAUGGCUUCUAUCUACUGUCAGUUGCGCCCAGUGUCUGUCCAGGGAAGCUCUGAUUCACAGCUGUAGGUGGUUGGUGGGUCUUGAUUAAGUGUCUGUCCAGGGAAGCUCUGAUUCACAGCUGUAGGUGGUUGGUGGGUCUUGAUUAAGUGUCUGGCCAGGGAAGCUCUGAUUCACAGCUGUAGGUGGUUGGUGGGUCUUGAUUAAGUGUCUGUCCAGGGAAGCUCUGAUUCACAGCUGUAGGUGGUUGGUGGGUCUUGAUUAAGUGUCCAGGGAAGCUCUGAUUCACAGCUGUAGGUGGUUGGUGGGUCUUGAUUAAGUGUCUGUCCAGGGAAGCUCUGAUUCACAGCUGUAGGUGGUUGGUGGGUCUUGAUUAAGUGUCUGUCCAGGGAAGCUCUGAUUCACAGCUGUAGGUGGUUGGUGGGUCUUGAUUAAGUGUCCAGGGAAGCUCUGAUGCACAGCUGUAGGUGGUUGGUGGGUCUUGAUUAAGUGUCCAGGGAAGCUCUGAUUCACAGCUGUAGGUGGUUGGUUGGUCUUGAUUAAGUGUCCAGGGAAGCUCUGAUUCACAG